rnacentral:misc_RNA from 1 species
AAGUCGUAACAAGGUUUCCGUAGGUGAACCUGCGGAAGGAUCAUUAUUGAAAUAAACCUGAUGGGUUGCUGCUGGUUCUCUAGGGAACAUGUGCACACUUGUCAUCUUUAUAUCUUCACCUGUGCACCUUUUGUAGACCUGAAUAUCUCUCUGAGUGUCUAACAUUCAGGUUUGAGAAUUGACUUUUUGUCUUUUCUUACAUUUUCAGGCCUAUGUUUCUUCAUAUACUCCAUGUAUGUUAUAGAAUGUAGUCAAUAGGUGUUUGUGCCUAUAAACUUAUACAACUUUCAGCAACGGAUCUCUUGGCUCUC